GACUCGUCACACUAUCAUUAACUGAAUCCAUAGGUUAAUGAGGCGAACCGGGGGAACUGAAACAUCUAAGUACCCCGAGGAAAAGAAAUCAACCGAGAUUCCCCCAGUAGCGGCGAGCGAACGGGGAGGAGCCCAGAGCCUGAAUCAGCAUGUGUGUUAGUGGAAGCGUCUGGAAAGGCGCGCGAUACAGGGUGACAGCCCCGUACACAAAAGCGCAUGUGCUGUGAGCUCGAUGAGUAGGGCGGGACACGUGGUAUCCUGUCUGAAUAUGGGGGGACCAUCCUCCAAGGCUAAAUACUCCUGACUGACCGAUAGUGAACCAGUACCGUGAGGGAAAGGCGAAAAGAACCCCGGCGAGGGGAGUGAAAAAGAACCUGAAACCGU
rnacentral:rRNA from 34 species